rnacentral:lncRNA from 1 species
CAGUACUUUAUUAAAUAAAAAUGAGAAAGACCGUGAAUCGUUCAUCAUUUUAAAAAAAAUUGUGAAUUAUUUUUUGUUUUCAGAUUAUUAUCGUUAUGUAUAGAUUUUUUUUGUAUAGAUUGUGAGGAUUUUUAUAAGGUUGUUAGGGUAUAUGUGAAUUAUUAAAAAAAAAAUUGAUUGUUAAGAUUAUAUGAAUAGAUUGUUACAGUAUUUUUGAUUGUUUAGAUUGUGUUAAGAUUAUAUGAAUAGAUUGUUACAGUAUUUUUGAUUUUUCAGAUUGUAUACGAUUUGUUGGAAUUAUUCACAUGUUUAAUCCCUAAUUAU